UACGUAGGUGGCAAGCGUUGUCCGGAUUUACUGGGCGUAAAGAGUGCGCAGGCGGUCGUUCAAGUCGCGUGUGAAAGCCCCCGGCUCAACUGGGGAGGGUCACGCGAUACUGAUCGACUCGAAGGCAGGAGAGGGUAGUGGAAUUCCCGGUGUAGUGGUGAAAUGCGUAGAUAUCGGGAGGAACACCAGUGGCGAAGGCGGCUACCUGGCCCAUUCUUGACGCUGAGGCGCGAAAGCUAGGGGAGCGAACGGG
rnacentral:rRNA from 1 species